rnacentral:rRNA from 1 species
AUUGAACGCUGGCGGCAUGCCUUACACAUGCAAGUCGAGCGCGAAAGGGGGCAACCCCGAGUAGAGCGGCGGACGGGUGAGUAACACAUCGGAACGUGCCCAGUAGUGGGGGACAACCUCGAGAAAUCGAGGCUAAUACCGCAUACGACCCACGGGUGAAAGCGGGGGACCCAAAGGAAACUGAGGGCCUCGCGCUAUUGGAGCGGCCGAUGUCCGAUUAGCUAGUUGGCGGGGUAAGAGCCCACCAAGGCGACGAUCGGUAGCUGGUCUGAGAGGACGACCAGCCACACUGGGACUGAGACACGGCCCAGACUCCUACGGGAGGCAGCAGUGGGGAAUUUUGGACAAUGGGGGCAACCCUGAUCCAGCCAUGCCGCGU